CACAGAAAUAUGAUGCUGACCACCAAGAAGCUGGCGGGGGGGGGCAGUCUUUCCCCAGCAGGACUGUGUCACAACCCUAGGGUGAAGUCCUCAGAGUGAGGCAGCAGGGGCAGCUAAGAAGGCCACAGGAAGGUGAAGGACACCGGCUGCCCCCGGGGUGCUCAUCCUCUAUCAGGAGCCCACAGGAUCCACGCUCCCAUGAAUAGCAGGGCCUGCAAGUCCCACACAGGUCCAGAGGAGCACCUGGGGUAAGGAUGAGAAGGGGCCCAGAUAUGUCGGAAGAGGAGGCAGAAGUUGAGAAAAGCAAGGAAUUUGUAAGACAGAUUUAAAGGCAGGAAAGCAGAGCUCAGAAUCCUCCCUUGACCCUUAGGAAAACAUGCAAAUUGGGAUCUGGCCUGGACAUCUGACCUACAAGCAACUGAAAUCCAGGUCGGGCAGUCCUGUGUGGAUGAAAGCUAUUGAGGAUUUAGUCACCCCUUAAUUGUUAGACAAAGAAGUAUCCCAAUUCAGUACAACGGCAUAUGAAAAACCAGAUUUCAAAGUUUUGGAGGAGGUCAAAAGUGAAUCAUCAGAUUACUCAUGUAUGGAUGAUGAAAAUGAUCCAGCAUGGUAAAAAAGAUGUUUUCAUAACGUAAGAGUGAUGAUGAUGAUGAUGACGAAGACUCCAACUUCACAUUGGCCAUGUGAGCCAAAUUCUGGUGACAGCACAAUGGAGCAAAAAUCGACUGAUACAGACACAGGGAUUGCAGACCUCCUUGAUUCAGAUGACAGAGAAAAUA